rnacentral:rRNA from 1 species
GAUGAACGCUGGCGGCGUGCCUAAUACAUGCAAGUCGAGCGAACAGACAAGGAGCUUGCUCCUCUGACGUUAGCGGCGGACGGGUGAGUAACACGUGGAUAACCUACCUAUAAGACUGGGAUAACUUCGGGAAACCGGAGCUAAUACCGGAUAAUAUAUUGAACCGCAUGGUUCAAUAGUGAAAGACGGUUUUGCUGUCACUUAUAGAUGGAUCCGCGCCGCAUUAGCUAGUUGGUAAGGUAACGGCUUACCAAGGCAACGAUGCGUAGCCGACCUGAGAGGGUGAUCGGCAACACUGGAACUGAGACACGGUCCAGACUCCUACGGGAGGCAGCAGUAGGGAAUCUUCCGCAAUGGGCGAAAGCCUGACGGAGCAACGCCGCGUGAGUGAUGAAGGUCUUCGGAUCGUAAAACUCUGUUAUUAGGGAAGAACAAAUGUGUAAGUAACUAUGCACGUCUUGACGGUACCUAAUCAGAAAGCCACGGCUAACUACGUG